rnacentral:lncRNA from 1 species
AAAUAGAGAGGAGGGUCCUCUCUCUUGGGGUGUGUGCAAAAAUCUAAAUUUCAAAUUUUUGGUUCUAAGGGAUUGGGAGGAGAGAAUAAAUUAGAAAAAAAUAUUUUUUUCUCUAUCUUUCUUUCACCUCUUCAUCUCAUUUAGAAGUUCAUCUUCAAUCUUUAAAAAAAUUUUAGAGAUUUGAAAAAAAGAUCCAAAUCGGCCA